rnacentral:tRNA from 1 species
GCGCGUGUGGCGGAAUGGCAGACGCGCCGGCUUCAGGUGCCGGUGCCCGCAAGGGCGUGGAGGUUCAACUCCUCUCACGCGCACAA